CCCUUAGAUGUCCUGGGCCGCACGCGCGCUACACUGAUGCAUGCAACGAGUUUAUAACCUUGGCCUGAAAGGUCUGGGUAAUCUUUUGAACGUGCAUCGUGAUAGGGAUAGAUUAUUGCAAUUGUUAAUCUUGAACGAGGAAUUCCUAGUAAACGCGAGUCAUCAGCUCGCAUUGAUUACGUCCCUGCCCUUUGUACACACCGCCCGUCGCACCUACCGAUUGAAUGGUUCGGUGAAGAUCUCGGACUUCGAUAUUUAUUCUUUAUUGAGUUUAUAUUGUGGGAAGUUAUCUAAAUCUCAUCAUUUAGAGGAAGGUGAAGUCGUAACA
rnacentral:rRNA from 1 species